UUCAGCUGAAGUCAGUGGAACUAUGUUGAUUUGCAGUAUCUAAGGAUCUACCCCUUGAAUUACAGCCAGUAGCAGCCUUCUGACUUAAACAUGUGAUUUCAUUCUUUUCACUGAGUAGAGGGAUGGGCAAUGUACAGUGACCUUAGGCAAACUUCCAUGGACAACUUUAAUGUUUAAUAACACAAUAAAAUAUUUGAUUUAUUUAAAUGCCAAAGCAUUUCUUCUGAUGAAACUGUUGCCUCAGAAUAUAAACUUGUUUACUGUGCUGAUGACAGAGCCCUUCUUCAGCAAGAUGGCUGCUGCCACCACUCAGAGUCAACAGUGACAGCCUGGGAAGCUGGGAAGCUUUCAAAAACAGACAGACAUUUAAUAAGAUUCUCGGUGACAUCAUUGCUUUGGGAAAAACUCAUAACAAGUGCCAGAUGUUCAUCCAGUGCAAUCAAAAAUUCAAGUGGCUAAAUAUAUCCUGAUAUCACGGCAAUUCGAUGGGAUAGUCCCAUCGUGAAGUUUUCUCUAUUGAAAUACAUGAACAGCAGAUCAGAAGAGAGCCUCCAGUGCCGCUUCAGAACUUAAGCUUCAGCUCAAGCCACAAUGUCUGCACAGCCCUGUGAGCUUUCAUCCAUCCAUCUGGGCUCUGAGACUUGUUCUGCAAGCUGUACAGGCAAAUCCUGAAAGCCCUGGAGACCGGAAAAAUCCAUGCUGCGCAUACAACCUAUGGGUUUCACUUAACCAAAUAAUGAUGAAUGACGAUGCUUUUCAUGCACCAUUUGUACACAUAUGAAAACCAUUGCUCUGGCUUGCAUUCCUGCUUUGGGAAGCAAAUUCAAUAUCUCCUCCAGCACCAAUCUAAUGAUGGAAAGAACAGACAUAGAUGUUUCUUCAACCACCUUACUCUCAAAUUGCCAUUGUCCAAAGUUUCCAGAUGUUCAUUUUUAAAUGAUUUAGUCAUAAAUGUGUUUUUUAAAUAUAAUUUUACAAACCAAUAAAUGGAUAAGUUAAAAUAUUGGGAUAUUUACAGGACACAGGCCUUUUGCUUUGAAAAUUACACUUCAGGAAUUUUUGCAUGUCUGCUUGACAGCAUGCUUGAUCCUGCAACCCUUGGUUAUGCAAAACUCCUGCUGAUUUCAGUGGGAGUUUUGCCUGAGUGAGACCUGAAGGAUUGUGUCCAAAGACAAAUAAUGAGAUGAAAUUCUUAACUAACUUAGUCACACUAGUGGCUGCAGUUGCCAAGGUUGCAUAUAUGUUGUUGUGGGUUUUUUAAAACACUACUGUCAUCUGUACUUCUUAUAAGGAGUGAAUUUUAAAUGGAAUCAAUGUAUUGCUUUGACUCUAAUAAGUGUUUGGAACUUUUGUGUGUGUGUGGUUUUGUAUAAACCUAUUCACUGUAACUAAAUGGGCAAAAAGCCUUUUUGGACAGAUUAUAUAGAUGCUUGUAGCCAAAAAGUUGUAAAUAUUAAUGUUUUUCCUACUCAGCAUUUUUUAUUUUAUACACAACAUACAGUAAGUUAAGUCUGUUUUUUCAAAUGUGUGUGGAUCUUGGCAGUGUUUCUAUUAUUUAUACAGCAUGAUACAUCUAUUGAUAUUGGGUUUUGUUCAUUUGCUGUAGAUUUCACAUAUGCUUUUUUAUUAAUAUUUCUUUGCAAUUAAGAUAUGCUUUUAUUGCAUUCAUGGAAAAACAUGGUGCCCUCUGCUGUUUAACAAGUCUAAAUUUGCAGUAAAUUCACUAAUGGCUGCAUAGCCUAAGUGAACCAAAAUCC